AGGACUGGGACACCUGAACAGACCAGAAGAAGCUGUUCGCAUCGCCAGAGAGAUGCAGAGCAUCGAUGGAGCAAAGAUGGUUGCCAGGUGUCCUCGGGUAUGGAGGGCCACCCGGGCUGCGUUAUUACGCACCAAGGACCGUAAUAAUCGCAUUGCUGACCGCCAUCGGUCCUCCACCCCCGCCUGUGCUGUUGGACAAAAGGUAUGGCUUUCCACACGCUUCGUUCCCGUCAGGGCGGAAUCCAAGAAGCUCACUCCCACCUUUAUUGGCCCGUUCGAGAUCUCUGCUUUGGUUAACCCUGUGUCCGUAAAGCUCAAACUACCUCGCAACAUGAAAAUACACGACGUCUUCCAUGUGUCUCAGAUUAAACCUCUCCAGUCCAGCCCUCUGUGCCCUCCUUCCAGGCCCCUCCUCCCCCCCGGCUCGUGGAUGGUCUGCCGGCCUACUCUAUCACCCGUAUCAUGGAUUCUCGGCGCCCGGGGCGUGGCUACCAGUACCUGGUGGAUUGGGAAGGCUACGGCUUGGAGGACCGGUCCUGGAUCCCUCGGGCGGCUGUCCUGGACAAGCGCAUGCUGCGGGAGUUCCAUCGCCUGCAUCCGGGCCUAUUUAAGACGGCAGCACUGUGUUACUCGUCGCUGGAUCGUUGAGCUAUCAGCAUCUACCCCGGACCUUUCCCUGCCUGCCUGUUACCGGGUGGACGAGUGAGUGGAUUUGUGUUACCCCGCUGUGGAGAGAGGAGAGAGAUUCGUUGGAGUGUGUCUGAUUUCCGUCCUUCCCCUCACAUGCCCCGGAGCCCUGGAUCCCCCUCCCCUCCCUCCAGCAAGUUGUACAUAGUAUCACCUGGUGUCGUUUGUGUUAAUAAACUGACUGUCUACUCUGCAAGGAUUCCCGGUCUGCGCCUGAGUCCAUUAACUAAAACCUGACAAUUUUGCUUCUUUCUCAGGACGAAGGUGGGAGAGCUGCUUCCAAACGUCUCUUCUCCCAAGAUUCACUUGCAGUAUGCAAAGGCCAAGGAGGCGGAUGGCAAAUACAAGGAUGCGGCACGAGCCUACGAGAGCGCGAAGGACUGAGACAAUGUGAUCCGCGUG